AGUUUUCGGAAUAAAAUAUGUGUGGCAUAUAAUAAAACAGGAAAUUAGCAAGCAACCUAAAAAUAGUAUCUGUUUUACUGCCUUGCUCACUAUUUCUAAGGAGAACACAAGCUCACAUUCUUGCAACUCAAGGAGUUAUCUUUACCUAAAAAUUGGAACGCAUGAGGGAAAAGUUGCCAUUUGCUAACUGUGUAACAAAGAAAAUUCUGCCCGUCGUGCCAAGACAUUAUGCAGUAGGUGGUGUUAACAUGGGAAGCUUUUAUCCCGGGAAAGUAGAAGCCCCAUUACCUCCUAAGUUAAUAACUGCAACCUGUAAUAGGAAGUUCUAUUUUAGUAGAGCUUUGUAUAUUUUUAAAAAAUAAGAAAAGAUCAUUUGUCUCCUUUUCUAUGAACCGGGCCACGCAAUCAGCUGCCAAUGCCUUUUCUUUUUUUAUUCUAUUCCCUCAAAAAAGAAAAGGCAAUAAUAGUCCUACAAGGUUGACUCCACAUGAAUGGACUAAAUUCACAAGAAUGGGAUUUUUUCACAGGGGAAGGAGCCUCCCAGCACUGGAGGCAGAGAUUAAUGUCUGGGAGUAAGCAGACCACAGAUCAUUUGAUAAAUUUUGUUUCGAACGUUGUCUCUGAAGAAUGAUUUCAACAAGCCAGAACAAAAUCCAUCUUUUUAAUUUGUAGUCACACCAUGUAAAUCAGGCUUUUUACAGAAAUGCAGAGUCUCUCAGGAAUGAUUAGGGAAUUGAUGAUACACAAACGUUUCUAACAAUGGCGCUGAGUGCCAGGGAGGAAUGAGACCUGUGCUCUCACACGAGCCCACACUGUGUGUCCUGUGGGACGUGGUGUGACAGGGCAUUAACCUGAGGUAACUAUGCUUCAUUCAUUGUGUUCUGAAGGGCCUAGAGCAGUCUUUCACUCUUCGUGGGCACCUCCAGAGUCUCAUCUCUAAAGGAAGGGAAUGAACUGAUCUGGACAUCAGCAGAGCCACCAAAACAAUCAGUUGAGCGCAUGCUGUCCAAGUGCUUCCUUGUUAACAGUACUGAGGAGACUUUACUUUGAAGCUCUGGAGGAACAAGAACAGGGUGGGCUGAAAGGACUUUCACUCCUGCAACAGAAUAAACCACAUACCUU
rnacentral:lncRNA from 1 species